UCUCUCUCUCUGCAGCACCAGCCCUGCCGACCCACAGCACUGGACACAGGACCCUCUUCGAGCCUGCGGCCCCUUAUACACGAGGUGGCCACUCUGCCUUGACGUCUCUUGGGUCUAAGCUGCCCCCUCACUCCCACCCACCAAAGCCUUGGCCCGGAAGAUGCCUCUCAUGUUAUGCAGCUGACGGGGAAGGAAACAGGAACGAAGACGCCCUUCUCUGCUCUCCCGGUGCCAGGACCCACGCACAGAGCAGAACACGAGGCCCGGAAGAAUCUCACUCUUUCGGCCCCUAAAGGGGUCCACAUAUGGGGUCAUGAAGAAACAGAGAGGACCCCAUGCAUCCCAGUUUACAGAGAAUGAGAGACCCCCAGCCCCGAUACUAGACGUCUGUCCCAUGGGCCUGUGUGCCCAGUGGGCACUUGCAGGCUGGCCUGGCGGGGGCAUGGAGCAAGCACAGGCCCUGUAGGCCCCAGUCUAGUUUAGACCCCAACUGGGUUGCACACCGUGGGCUACCCCGCUUCAUGCCUCGGGGUCCCCAUUUCCAAAAUGGGCUAAUGGAGCCAGUCUCAGCAGGACAGUUGGCAGAGUAAGAGCCGACGCUCCGGUGGUGAUGGGGCUCAGCACGGCCAGAGGGGCUGUGUGGGUUGCAUGGCUUCUGCUCAGCAAGGCGUGCACCGUGGUCGGCUCGGGGCCACAUCCACCCGAGGGUAGCUGAACUUCAGCUCCGAGCCAUGGUACCUGUCCGACCAGGGUGACAGCCCCUGAGAGCCCGGAGCAGCCCGACAGCCUGCCGUCUCAGUGGAGAAGGCAGGCUGGGCUCCAGCCAGGGGCGUUGAGUGCGGGUGCCCAGGCCAGCCGCAAGUUCAAGGCUUCCGGAAGCGAACCGGCUCUCACCACUAACACACACCUACAUGGACACACACACACAGACGCAUUCACACACCUAUACACAUUCACACACGUGUGCACGUACACAGACACAUGAACAUAGAUAUGUGCACAUGGGCACACAUUUACACACACACCAAGCACACGUUCAUACGUGUAAACGUACACACACACUCCGGCCUGCACAGACCCCUAAACUCACUCAUGUACACACACACACACACACACACACACACUCCCACACCAACAGUGCCUGGUCAAUACAUGGGGUUGGCCUUGCUAAGAGAAACAGGUCUUUCUCCAUCAUCCCCUGUUGUUCCCACUGGGCACCAAAGGACGUGGCCCAGGGCAGCCUUAGAAGGACAAAGUCCCCGGGCGGGUGAUUUCCCAGUCAGGAGCUCAGCCCCGGGGGACUGCCCGGUUUUACCUGGUGACAUCAGGCCCCUUGUCACGUGGGGUCGGCACCCUGCAGCAAAUGCUCUGACAACGCCCGCCCCUCUGCGCGAAGGCCACCUGCCUCCCUUAUUUCCCUGUGACUCAUUCGACACCUCUGGCCACAGGAGGAUCCGGACCCGGACCGGCAUUUCUGGAGCCUCGCUCUCCUGCCUGCAGGACCUACACCCAAGUCAGCCACUGGCCAGUCCCAGCAUGGAUCUUGUCAUGGGCAGUCUUCUCCUGAGCCACCUGCCGCAGGGCCCCAGGGGUGGGAGCCAGCGGACUGUCCCUCUGGAGCCUGCAGCAGGUGAGGGGACCUGUGUCCACCCCCCGCUGUCCCACAGGCUGCUGUACAAGGAACUGCUUCCUGGUUUGGUCUUCGGUGCUCUUGAAGCUGAAUUAUGCAGGGAAAAUGUCUACGUCUGUCGGAAACUUUUCUGUUACGGAUGAAAGGGGACUCUAUUGGCGCCUAUGGUUAACAGGGGAGGGGGACACCGCUCCGUCGAGACUCAAUCUCUCCACCCACAAUGAGGCCUUCUUCUGGCUCCAUCUGGGGAUGAGGCCCCAGACCCCACUUUCCCAGUUCAGGCCUAGACUCGUCUGGAGGGUUAGGAAGACUUCUAAGAGGAGGGAGCCUGGAUCAAGGCCUUAAAGGGUGUUGGCCACAUCUGACAGCUGCACCCACACACAAAGGUACAGCCCUCACACUUGGGAGUCCUUUCAUCCAUCAUCAAUGAGACUCCGUGACGAAAGGUCCCUAUAAGGUUUGGCCCUGGUUAGGAGCUGAACCAAAGAAGAAACAAGGACGUUGGGGACCAGGAGAAGCAGGCUCAUCCAGCGCAGGGACCUUCCUUCUCUACCCUCCCACCAAAGCUGCGACAGGUGCCUUCAGCCUGCCUCUCUUCUUUCCAUGCCUCCAACCCAGUUUCUUGCAAGCGGUCAGCUGGAGGGGCUGGCCUUUUUUAAAUGGUUGUUUCCCUCUUAACCUGAUAAAGCCGGUCCAUGAAAGUCAUUACCCGCUGAGGGACAAAGAGGAGCAGGACGAAAUACACACACACACACGUGUGAAUAUACACACGAUCAUCAGGUGUGGUGGGAGUGAAGGACGUGAGAUCCGCUUGUUGGAGAGACACCCAGUCGCUGGCGUGCCAUUCCCAUCACAGAAGAGACAGCAACCUGUUCUGAAGUCAAAUCGCAGGGUGCGUUUUAUGUUAUCCAGAAAUUAUCAUGGAGGGCCGUGGGCACCAGCUUCGCAGAUUCCAUGUCUACACUACAGAACAUGAGAGAAAAUAAAACCACCUUUCUUCAGUACAGGACCACGAUGUGGAAAAAGCCCACAGAGCUGGAAGGGGGAAGAGGGCAUUGUCAGGAGCCAAGGGAAAUCUCUUCAAGAACAACAGAAAAAUAGUAAGCCUCUUUGCUUCCCCCCCAGCCCCCCCACAAAGUGACAAAUUUGACUUGUCAGAUGCAAGUUCAACUUGUGGACAAUCCACUCACGACUGAUAAUCUCUAUGGCAACUGCUGUGUCACGUGAUGACACAGAAGCAGUGGAGACAGAGGCAGCGCAGCUUUCCAGACUGCUUUUCUUCUAGUAGAUUCCACGAGGUCAGCCUAAUUAACGGGAGCGGGAUUGAGUCCUUGGUUUAGGUCAUUGGCAGACGUUCUCAAGGAAGAAUGAAGAUACAUUAGCACCUUCUCUUCCCAUCCAUGGGGGCUUGUGCCAGGACAGGGGAGGGGGGCCUCCAAGUGGUGUCCCCUCCCCCCCCCAGCCCUCCUAACUUGCCAAGCUCCAAACAGCACUUCUAAAUACUCUCUUUGUAGAGUCGUGUCUGGAGAAAAACUCUAAAUCCUCUCCUGAAGCUUUUAAAAUAUCAGACACUGGUGAGAGAGGGAGCCAGGAAUACAAGCCAAGUCCCCUUUUUAAUUAGUAUUAUAAAUUUCUACUUAUUUAAUUUCCAACUGCUUCUCCCUGCAAAAUACAGGUACAAUGUAAUUAAUGCCCUCUGUCCAUGACAUUUGUUCUUAGACUAGAAAAUGCUGUCCCUUUCCCAAGGCGUUAUCUCUUUCAGCUGGGUCUAAUGUAGGUCUGGUGAGUUGGUGAGGGUGGAAAGUUCAUUCAUUUUCAU